rnacentral:Y_RNA from 1 species
GGCUGCUCCCAGGUGGCUGAGGGAUUAAGACGCAUUGCACAGUCAGUUACAGAUUGAACUCCUUGUUCUACUACUUCCCCCCCUCACUACUGCACUUGACUAGUCUUAA